CAGCAGCCACGGGAAUACGGAGGGUGCAAGCGUUAUCCGGAUUCACUGGGUUUAAAGGGUGCGUAGGCGGGCAGGUAAGUCAGUGGUGAAAUCUUCGAGCUUAACUCGGAAACUGCCGUUGAUACUAUCUGUCUUGAAUAACGUUGAGGUGAGCGGAAUAUGUCAUGUAGCGGUGAAAUGCUUAGAUAUGACAUAGAACACCGAUUGCGAAGGCAGCUCACUAAACGCUCAUUGACGCUGAGGCACGAAAGCGUGGGGAGCAAACAGGAUUAGAUACCCGUGUAGUCCCUGUCUCUUAUAU
rnacentral:rRNA from 1 species